rnacentral:ncRNA from 2 species
CGAGGCCACUCUGGAAAGCAGGCGCACCCGCGCCUCACCCAAGGUGAAAGCCGUGCUGUGUCUUCUCCCAGCGGCACGGUGAAACUCUCAGGUGCCAUGACAGAGGGGGAGUU